GGGUCGAUGGCGUAGCUGGUUAUCGUAUCUGUCUAACAUGGUGCAUCAAUUCGCAAUUGUACACAGAAGGUCCUCAGUUCGAACCUGGGUCGACUCA